rnacentral:rRNA from 1 species
GACGAACGCUGGCGGCGUGCCUAAUACAUGCAAGUCGAACGAGAAAUUCUUACACCGGAUGCUUGCAUCCACCGUAAGAUUUCGAGUGGCGGACGGGUGAGUAACACGUGGGUAACCUGCCCAUCAGAGGGGGAUAACACUUGGAAACAGGUGCUAAUACCGCAUAAUUCCUUUUACCGCAUGGUAAAAGGCUGAAAGGCGCUUCUGGUGUCACUGAUGGAUGGACCCGCGGUGCAUUAGCUAGUCGGUGGGGUAACGGCCUACCGAGGCGAUGAUGCAUAGCCGACCUGAGAGGGUGAUCGGCCACAUUGGGACUGAGACACGGCCCAAACUCCUACGGGAGGCAGCAGUAGGGAAUCUUCGGCAAUGGACGAAAGUCUGACCGAGCAACGCCGCGUGAGUGAAGAAGGUUUUCGGAUCGUAAAACUCUGUUGUUAGAGAAGAACAGGAGAAGUAGUAACUGGCUUCUUUUUGACGGUAUCUAACCAGAAAGCCACGGCUAACUACGUGCCAGCCGC